CAGUUUUGAAUGUCAAUUGUCAAAUGUGCAAAAGAUUGGUUAGGUUAGCCAAAUUUUUAAAACGAAGUUAAAAUAAAUAAACAAAUAAUAACAAUAAUGAAUAUCCUCGACACGGUGUUGUGCACAUCGAAAGCUGAAAAAUAUUCAAGCAAUUUUAAACAAUUCAGCAUUGAUGCAUUCACUCUCAAAUUGUUCAAUGAAGAAGAUUUAAAAAUCUUGGGUAUUGAGGAGGAAGAAAUUCGAUUAGCUGUUUUACAACAUGCUAAUAAUUUACAAAUACCUGCAGAAAAACAUACAGAGGUUUUGAUAGAUGAAAAAUACGUACAAUUAGUUUUAGCCCAAAUGUCUAUGCAUUUGACGAAACAUUUAGCUGCUCUUUCUAUUGCAGUGAAUAGAAGGGAUACAAUUGUGUGCAAUGUUCAGUUGAAACCAGCUGCCCAUUGUUUGCAAAAAUGUGUAGAAUCUUUAGAAAAACAAUUAGACGAGUUUGAGCAAAAGAUUGUUAGAAAAAACAGGAAGAUAUGGUACAAACAAAUUCUCAUUCCUAUUAUAAUUCCAUCACUUGUGUUUGCCUCUUUCAAAGCCUAUAGAAUUAUUCUAAAACUGAUGUAAUAAAUUGAUUUUGCAAAAAA